rnacentral:tRNA from 1 species
GGGGCUGUAGCUCAGCUGGGAGAGCACAAGCUUUGCAAGCUUGGGGUCAGGGGUUCGAUCCCCCUCAGCUCCA